GAUAAUGGCUCAGGAUGAACGCUAGCUACAGGCUUAACACAUGCAAGUCGAGGGGAAACGACAUCGAAAGCUUGCUUUUGAUGGGCGUCGACCGGCGCACGGGUGAGUAGCGCGUAUCCAACCUGCCCAUCACUUGGGAAUAACCUUGCGAAAGUAAGACUAAUGCCCAAUGACAUCCCACGAAGGCAUCCGAAUGGGAUUAAAGAUUUAUCGGUGAUGGAUGGGGAUGCGU
rnacentral:rRNA from 1 species